AGAGUUUGAUCCUGGCUCAGAAUGAACGCUGGCGGCGUGCUUAACACAUGCAAGUCGCACGAGAAUUCUUCUGCUUGCAGAAGAUAGUAAAGUGGCGCACGGGUGAGUAACGCGUGGGUAAUCUACCUCCGAAUCGGGGAUAACAUCGCGAAAGUGGUGCUAAUACCGGAUGACAUCAUUGCAUCUUUGGAUGCGAUGAUCAAAGGUGGCCUCUACAUGUAAGCUAUUGUUUGGAGAUGAGCCCGCGUACCAUUAGCUUGUUGGUAGGGUAACGGCCUACCAAGGCGACGAUGGUUAGCUGGUCUGAGAGGAUGAUCAGCCACACUGGAACUGACACACGGUCCAGACUCCUACGGGAGGCAGCAGUGAGGAAUUUUGCGCAAUGGGGGCAACCCUGACGCAGCAACGCCGCGUGAGUGAUGAAGGCUUUCGGGUCGUAAAGCUCUGUCAAGUGGGAAGAACCUGCUUGGUGAAAAUACCACUAAGCAUUGACGGUGCCACUGAAGGAAGCACCGGCUAACUCCGUGCCAGCAGCCGCGGUAAUACGGGGGGUGCAAGCGUUAUUCGGAAUCAUUGGGCGUAAAGGGCGCGCAGGCGGUCUUGUAAGUCAGAUGUGAAAGCCUUUCGCUUAACGGAAGAAGUGCAUUUGAAACUGCAAGACUUGAGUAUGGGAGAGGGAAGUGGAAUUCCUGGUGUAGAGGUGAAAUUCGUAGAUAUCAGGAGGAACACCCGUGGCGAAGGCGACACCCUGGCCCACACCUGACGCUGAGGUGCGAAAGCGUGGGUAGCAAACAGGAUUAGAUACCCUGGUAGUCCACGCUGUAAACGAUGUCAACUAGGUGUCGGUGGUUUUACACUAUCGGUGCCGAAGCUAACGCGUUAAGUUGACCGCCUGGGGACUACGGCCGCAAGGCUAAAACUCAAAGGAAUUGACGG
rnacentral:rRNA from 1 species